GGAAUAUUUCACAAUGGGGGAAACCCUGAUGCAGCGACGCCGCGUGAGCGAUGAAGUAUUUCGGUAGGUAAAGUUCUAUCAGCAGGGAAGAAUAUGACUGUAGCUGACUAAGAAGCCCCGGCUAACUACGUGCCAGCAGCCGCGGUAAUACGUAGGGGGCAAGGGUUAUCCGGAUUUACUGGGUGUAAAGGGAGCGUAGACGGCAUGGCAAGCCAGAUGUGAAAGCCCGGGGCUCAACCCCGGGACUGCAUUUGGAACUGUCAGGCUAGAGUGUCGGAGAGGAAAGCGGAAUUCCUAGUGUAGCGGUGAAAUGCGUAGAUAUUAGGAGGAACACCAGUGGCGAAGGCGGCUUUCUGGACGAUGACUGACGUUGAGGCUCGAAAGCGUGGGGAGCAAACA
rnacentral:rRNA from 1 species